rnacentral:rRNA from 1 species
GGGUUGUGAGGUUAAGCGACUAAGCGUACACGGUGGAUGCCCUGGCAGUCAGAGGCGAUGAAGGGCGUGCUAAUCUGCGAUAAGCGCCGGUAAGGUGAUAUGAACCGUUAUAACCGGCGAUACCCGAAUGGGGAAACCCAGUGUGAUUCGUCACACUAUCAUUAACUGAAUCCAUAGGUUAAUGAGGCGAACCGGGGGAACUGAAACAUCUAAGUACCCCGAGGAAAAGAAAUCAACCGAGAUUCCCCCAGUAGCGGCGAGCGAACGGGGAGGAGCCCAGAGCCUGAAUCAGCAUGUGUGUUAGUGGAAGCGUCUGGAAAGGCGCGCGAUACAGGGUGACAGCCCCGUACACAAAAGCGCAUGUGCUGUGAGCUCGAUGAGUAGGGCGGGACACGUGGUAUCCUGUCUGAAUAUGGGGGGACCAUCCUCCAAGGCUAAAUACUCCUGACUGACCGAUAGUGAACCAGUACCGUGAGGGAAAGGCGAAAAGAACCCCGGCGAGGGGAGUGAAAAAGAACCUGAAACCGUGUACGUACAAGCAGUGGGAGCCCCACCACCAAAGCAUUCUCUGGUGUUGAAGGCCCUGCAAAGCAGCAUCGCGGUGGCGGAGCGUCGUUUGCGACGCCCAACACACAAAACAAGCGGUGAGUGCUUUGGGGUGGGGUGACUGCGUACCUUUUGUAUAAUGGGUCAGCGACUUAUAUUCUGUAGCA